rnacentral:rRNA from 1 species
UAGGGAAUCUUCGGCAAUGGGGGGAACCCUGACCGAGCAACGCCGCGUGAGUGAAGAAGGUUUUCGGAUCGUAAAGCUCUGUUGUUAAGGAAGAACGAGUGUGAGAAUGGAAAGUUCAUACUGUGACGGUACUUAACCAGAAAGGGACGGCUAACUACGUGCCAGCAGCCGCGGUAAUACGUAGGUCCCGAGCGUUGUCCGGAUUUAUUGGGCGUAAAGCGAGCGCAGGCGGUUAGAUAAGUCUGAAGUUAAAGGCAGUGGCUCAACCAUUGUAGGCUUUGGAAACUGUUUAACUUGAGUGUAGAAGGGGAGAGUGGAAUUCCAUGUGUAGCGGUGAAAUGCGUAGAUAUAUGGAGGAACACCGGUGGCGAAAGCGGCUCUCUGGUCUGUAACUGACGCUGAGGCUCGAAAGCGUGGGGAGCGAACAGG